AGGGAUCAUUACCGAGUUUACAACUCCCAAACCCCUGUGAACAUACCAAUUGUUGCCUCGGCGGAUCAGCCCGCUCCCGGUAAAACGGGACGGCCCGCCAGAGGACCCCUAAACUCUGUUUCUAUAUGUAACUUCUGAGUAAAACCAUAAAUAAAUCAAAACUUUCAACAACGGAUCUCUUGGUUCUGGCAUCGAUGAAGAACGCAGCAAAAUGCGAUAAGUAAUGUGAAUUGCAGAAUUCAGUGAAUCAUCGAAUCUUUGAACGCACAUUGCGCCCGCCAGUAUUCUGGCGGGCAUGCCUGUUCGAGCGUCAUUUCAACCCUCAAGCCCAGCUUGGUGUUGGGACUCGCGAGUUAAAUCGCGUUCCCCAAAUUGAUUGGCGGUCACGUCGAGCUUCCAUAGCGUAGUAGUAAAACCCUCGUUACUGGUAAUCGUCGCGGCCACGCCGUUAAACCCCAACUUCUGAAUGUUGACCUCGGAUCAGGUAGGAAUACCCGCUGAACUUAA
rnacentral:rRNA from 1 species